rnacentral:lncRNA from 1 species
GGGUGCCGCUGGGACCGUCAUCAGGAGCCUGGGGUUCUGCCACCUUUCGGAGGGAUCAGCGACCUCUUCGCCCUGCGGGUGACAGUGGGGCAUCUGCCUGCGAGAGGGGGAAGGAGGGAGAACCCAGGGCCACACACAAAGUUCUCCUCAUCUGGGGACAGGAGGAGGUGAAGGAGGAGGAGCCGGGUUGAUGCUAACUUGGAGCUGCGAAACCUUGGGGCGGCGUUCAAGGCCCCCUCCCACACGCGCGCAGAGCAGAGCGCCCUGCUCCUCCUUCAGCUGCUGGCGUCGCC